UCUCUCUUUCUAAAAUGUGUCCGAGUUCUCUCCAUCUCUCUGUUUGUCGAUUCUUGCGUUUUGUCUGGUGAUUUUCUUUUCUGUUUCAGUCUCGAUUCUCUCUUUCAUAGCGGUUUCUCUGUUUCUAGAAUUUGUCCGAGCUCUUUCGAGUUUUUGUUUGCCGAUUCUUGCGUUUUUUCUGGGUAUUUUCUUUCCUCUGUCAGUAUCUGUUCUUCUUUCAAGUUGCUCUGCCUCUCCUCCGUCUUCUCCGGCGAGUUACCCGUCUUCCAGGUUCAUUCGAUUCUUUCUUUCAUCGCGAUUUUCUGUCACCAGAAUAUGUCCGAGUUCUCUCGAUUUUUCCGAUUCUUGCGUUUUGUCUGGUGAUUUUCUUUUCUGUUUCAGUUUGUUCGAUCUUUUUCUUCAUUUUAAGGUCUUAGUUCGUUCUGUUGCCUGUCUACUUUCUUUCUCAUUGGUUUUAUGGUUUUUUCUUCUGGGUUCCGUUUUCUUGUUUUAGGGUUUUGCCUUGGUUCCUGGGUUACCUUUUUUUGGGUGUAGGUUUAUUUCACAUCUGUGGUGCAUGCAGGAUAUUUCUCGUUUCCUCGUUAUUCUUCGUUGUUUCUUUGAUUUUUAAAUACGAUUCCAUGUCUCAUUUUCCCUGCCUUCCAGUUAUUUUCUUCUUGUUUGCGUUUCAUUCAUCAAGGUUGUCAUUUCUGGAUUUUGUAUUCAAGUUCAAUUCUACAUUUGGUGUUGUUUACCCAAUCUUUGUUUCUUUACGUGGGUCUGUUCUGAUUUCCCACUCUGUAUGUUAUGUUAUAUAGCUGAUGGACUUCUGCGAUACCCUAACUGUCUGGUUGAUUCAGCAUGAAAAGUGGAAGAAAAGCAUUGUUGUACUCUUUAUCUUUUGUAGUUUAUAUUGAUUUCCGUUCGAAACCUUGUCAAGAAUGGCAACCCUUUCUGUUGCUGUUCAAGCUUAGCUUAGAGUGCAUCCGUUUUCUGUAGCUUCUUUUGUUAAUUCAAACCUGUCUUUUGUAUUGUUUUUUCUGUAAACAUGUGUGACAAUUCAUUUUGUUUAUACAAUCUGAUAUGAUAUAUAUAAGGUCAAAGCAGCUUGAAAAAGUAAUCAUAUGUAUUCUGUAUAUAUCAUCACAGCUUUUGUUGCUACAGUCAUUAUAUCCUUCUGGAAUUCUUGCUUUAUCAAAAUUCCUUUUUUGAAAUGUCAAUAGGAAACCGAAGCCAGAAUUCAGAUUUCUGGUACCAAAACCGGUGGAGAGAAGGUAAAUAUUGGAUUAGACUCUGUAUUCGUCACAAGUGUUCUCAAUGCCCAUGGUGUCAUGGAAAAAGUAUUUCACUUGGAAAAGGCUUUCAAGAGAAACCUGAAAAUGUAUGACAAGUACAGGGGUAAUGGGGGGUUGUAUUUUGUGCUGGACCCGAGAAGUUUUAUGGAACGAGAUCCUUGUGAUAACACUUUAUAUAGCAUAUGGUGUUGGCGAAAUCAAGGUUAAAAAGUGACAUAUUUGAUGGCAUGGGGUGUCACAGGAGUUGAAGGCGUGUUUAGGAGAUGAUGCAACGAAACUUUGUCGGUUAUGCAGACCAAUAGAGAGGUGUUGCCCACGAUUUGGUGAAGUAAAAUGAACUGAACCACUUGUCGAAAAGUUAAAUAUGAAUGGAAUACCAAAUACUUAAAUCAAAAUUCAUCUGUUUGCUGGUUUUUAUACAUGAUCCGCUCUACAAAAUGGACCUUGUGCCUUUUGAAGGCUUUGCAAAGGCAAAAGGUACUUCUUAUCCUUAAGUAUGUUUUCGAUUGUAAAAGAAGAAAACACAAUGCAUAUGCAUGCUUCCUUUGGGGGAAGGUUAUGAAGAGAACCUCGCUUUAGAUGAUUGGAUGGGUGAAAAAUGCCAGCAAAACAGAUUCUGUUUGGUUUUAGUUAUUUAUUCUUUUACUUGUAUUAGUUAGUCGGAUUUUGCUGGGUGUACAAUAUAAUAUUUCUCCAUUUCAUGGUAAAUUAGUCCCUUGCUUCUUGAUUUCUCUUGAAGGCAUGUUUUAUGAAUUACUCCAAUACUUAUUGCAUAAGCUUUAAUCAGUUGUACUGCUUUUUGUUGUCUUGUUUGGACUUAUUGCACCCGUAUCAAUCGGAACCUUCUUGUUUACUGGAUAUGUAAAAAUCUUCUUUUUCCUCAUAUUUGAGGUAAGUCUUUGCUGAUAAUUUGCGUGGGUUUAUGCAGCAGGAUCAUUUUACACCGUUUUUUCUUAUAAGCUCAUGUUUUUGCCAGGUUAAACAAAUGGUGGAAAUCUAAAUUAAGCUUGAAACAAGGAGAGAGGGGGAUCGAUAAAAGGGUGACACUACCUAGGGAAAUCCGUGGUCUUAGGCAGUUUGAUGAAGAACGAGGAUGAAUAAACUUGUGGUUAUGGCUUCCUGUUGUUCAGAACGUCUACUUCCCUUUCUGAGGUCUAUUUGAGAUCUGAUAAAAUUCUUAGUAUUUUCUUUUUUACACAUAUUAUUUGGUGAUUAAAAUGCAAUGACAAAAUGUGAAAUUAUGUCUGGGAAUAGAUCCUUACAUUUUAUUGGAGACUUUGGUUUUGCUAAUUUCAUAGCAGAAGAAAGAUAAAGAAAAAGUAUAAUAUUGGCUUGUACCACUUCUUUUGUUCUUCUUUCAAAUGCCUUGCCUGUUUAUCUUUUCUACUAUGGGUCUGCAUGGUUACAUACUUACAUGCACUGUUUGCUGAAGCUUCUUCACGGUAGAUUGCUGUUUGGACUCUUGUCCAUAUUUUUGCCUUAAAUAAAGCAGAUAGUAUUAGAUUGUUGGUGUCUUAUUUUGUAUUCAUGAUAUCUUUCUUUUUCCUUUAUGGUUUAUGUGUUCUUGGUUUAAAAAAGGUUUUUUAAAAAAAUACAAGAAUCGUCCUCUGCUGUUUUGAAUGAAGCUGAAAUGUUUGAUAAGAUACCUUCUUGACGAAUCUGUAAAGAUCAUAGGUGCUACAUCACAAGCCCUUCGGGUCAAAGCGGCUAGAACAAGAAACCGAAGCCAAAAUUCAGAUUUUUGGUACUAUGAUGGAGAGAAGGUAAUUAUUGGAUUAGACUACUGUAUUCGUCACAAGUGUUCUCAAUGCCCAUGGUGUCCUGGAAAAAGUAUUUCACUUGGAAAAGGUAUGGUCGUGGUUUCAGCAUAUCAACUUUGCACUUGUGUAUUUCACUUGAAAACAUAUUUGUUUGCUUUUCAUUCUUCUGCAGGAAUUCAAGAGAAACCUGAAUAUGGAAUGGGGAUUUAUAUUUUGUGCUGGACACGAGAAGUUUUAUGGAACGAGAUUCUUGUGAUAACACAUUAUAUAACAGAUGGUGUUGGUGAAGUCAAGGAGUUGACGGCGAGUUCAGGAUAUGCUGUAAUGAUUCUUUGUCGGUUAUGCAGACCAAUAGAGUGGUGUUGCCCACGAUUGGUUUUCAUGAUCCUCUCUACGGAAUGGACCUUGUGCCUUUUGACGGCUUUGCAAAGGCAAAAGCAGGAUCAUUUUACACCGUGUUUCUUAUCAGCUCAUGUUUUUGCCAGGGUAUCGAUAAAAGGGUAACACUACCAAGAGAAAUCCGUAGUGUUAGAAUGAGGAAUGAGGAAUGAAUAAACUUGUAUUUCCUUUAGCUUCAAUUUUCUCUGUGAUCCUAGUUUCAGAAACUUUGUUGGUUAUGUGGGCCAAUAUAUUUAGCUUACAAUUGUUGAAGUAAAACGAACUGAAACACUAAUUGGAAAGUUAAAAUAGGAAUAGAUUACUGAAUACUUAAAUCAAAAUCCAUCUGUUUUCAGGUUUUUAUACAUGAUCCUUUCUACAAAUGGGACUCGUCCCUCUUGGAGGCUUUGCAAAAAAGGCAAAAGGUACAAGUCUCAUCCUAUGUUUAUAAAAUUCUUCUGAACGAGGUCUGGGAUCCUUGAACUAGGUAAGUUCUUCCGUCAACUUUUUUUUUAAUCAAAAUUCUUCUGAUAUUUUAUUCAUGAAGAAGAAUUCGGCUUUUUAUAAAUCCUACAUGGAUUCUAAUAGUCCCAUCUAGAUAGAAUUCCACGAAUUAUUAUUGAAUCAAAAGUCAUACACUCGCAAUACCAAACAAUAAAUAGAGAAAAACCCAAAAUAAAUGAAAAACCAAUUCCGGACAGAAAAAAGGCCUCAGCCUCUUCUACCCGAGAAUCCAGCCAUUUUUUUUAUGCUUAUAUUUGUAAAAUGUCGAAGGGGAACCUUGGCACAUCGGUUAAUGUGUUCCGUUGUGACCUAGAGGUCACAUGUUCGAAUGCUGGAUAUAACCUCUUGUGGACCCUUCCUCCUGGAACCCCGCUCAGCGGGAUGUUUUGGGCAUCGGGUUGCCCUUUGCCCUUUAUAAGUGUAAAAUGUGUUUUUUUAUGCUUAUAUGGUGUAAGAUAUGUUUGAUUGUCUCUUUGAGGAUAUUUCUUUCAGAUGUGUUUGAAGAUUCGGUUGAUAGAAAAACAUGACAAGUAUUACAAUUCUUUUA